UGGGGAAUAUUGGACAAUGGGGGCAACCCUGAUCCAGCAAUGCCGCGUGUGUGAAGAAGGUCUUCGGAUUGUAAAGCACUUCCGACGGGGACGAUGAUGACGGUACCCGUAGAAGAAGCCCCGGCUAACUUCGUGCCAGCAGCCGCGGUAAUACGAAGGGGGCUAGCGUUGCUCGGAAUGACUGGGCGUAAAGGGCGUGUAGGCGGUUUACACAGUCAGAUGUGAAAUCCCCGGGCUUAACCUGGGAGCUGCAUUUGAUACGUGUAGACUAGAGUGUGAGAGAGGGUUGUGGAAUUCCCAGUGUAGAGGUGAAAUUCGUAGAUAUUGGGAAGAACACCGGUGGCGAAGGCGGCAACCUGGCUCAUGACUGAUGCUGAGGCGCGAAAGCGUGGGGAGCAAACAGGAUUAGAUACCCUGGUAGUCCACGCUGUAAACGAUGUGUGCUAGAUGUUGGGUAACUUUGUUAUUCAGUGUCGCAGUUAACGCGUUAAGCACACCGCCUGGGGAGUACGGCCGCAAGGUU
rnacentral:rRNA from 1 species